rnacentral:rRNA from 1 species
UACGUAGGGACCAAGCGUUGUUCGGAUUUACUGGGCGUAAAGGGCGCGUAGGCGGCAAUUCAAGUCAGCUGUGAAAUCUCCGGGCUUAACUCGGAACGGUCAGCUGAUACUGCUUUGCUAGAGUGCAGAAGGGGCAAUCGGAAUUCUUGGUGUAGCAGUGAAAUGCGUAGAUAUCAAGAGGAACACCUGAGGUGAAGACGGGUUGCUGGGCUGACACUGACGCUGAGGCGCGAAAGCUAGGGUAGCAAACGGG